GGGCCGCGCCAGCUCCGGCGCCGAGGCCCCCGGCGCCCCCAGGCCCACACCGACGGCAGGCGCGAAGGCGGCCAGGGCGAGCAGCGGACCCCACAUGGCGGGCGCAGGAGGCGGAGAGGCGCGGGCGGCGGCGCGAGGUAAACUGAGGCCUGCAGCGGCUUACUGAUUUGGCCACAGCAGAAAAACAGCUGUGGGAGAGGAAACUACAACCCGAGGAGGAGAUCCAUCCAGAGCCAGGGCGGACGAGACAGCAGGGAGCGAGGAGUGGGAAACUGAGGCACCGAAGAGGGCGCGGUGCGGGGGUGGAAUCCGUGGAAAAGGACUUCUUGGGAAAGACAACCCGAGGGGCCCAGCCGGAGGCGGCGGGUCCCACCACUGCCCCACACCCACCCCCAGUCCCGCCUCUCCUCUCCUCUCCUCUCCUCUGCUUCCCUCCCCGACUCUCUCGCUCGCCAGGCUGCCACGUUCCGGGCUUACAUAACCCAAGAAGAAAAGCCAGAGCCGAUACCCGGCGGGCUGAAGCUAGGGAUGGAGGGGCCUAGGCUUGCGUGGGGGCUCUGCCCUCCUCCCGCCAUCGUUCUCCCCUUCCUGUAUCCCUCUCAUCAGGGUCUACAGCCUUGGGUGUCUAUUCUCUCCUUCGUUGGGGGUUUCAGAUCACUUCCAUCCUCCUCGUGGGUGCCCUUUUGAGUCCCCUUUGAGUUCCGAACGUCAGGAUGGCCUUCCAUGAAGGAAAAAGACAAAACCUUCCACAGUGCGUCUUUGGCCAGUGCUUCCCCUUUGCUGCCAUUCCCACUAGAAGCAAUGUCCAGAAGUAGGUGAGAAUCUUCUGGAGUGUCCAGGUCCUUGAGCAUGUGGGGUGGGAGUCAGGGGCAUUAUCUACAUAAAUGCUUUCCAUUUCCCAGAGUCUGCAUCAUUGUGGUGGUCCAAGCUCACACGAUUCCUGGAAAGGAACACUGUACUGCACUCCUGAAACACACUCACCCCUGGUUCCGAAGAACCCAGAGGGGUGAGUCCUGGAGCUCUGGACACUUUUGGUCAACCCAGUGUGCACAUGAGAUAGAGGGCUAGAAAGGCCCUGGGAGACUAAGCAGGGCUGUUGAGAGACCAGGUCCCUUCCUAGACAGCACUCCCAGAGCACAGGGAGCCCUGAGCAAAUGGCACCAGGAGAUGGCAGGAGUCAGGCUGAGCUUCCCUGCUUCCUAAGACGGGAAGCCAGGUCCAAACAGCUAUCCAGGACUGCCUAGUUUCCAGCAUUGUCUAGUCUGGCCACUUCCCUGUCUCUAGCCUCCAGCCCUGUUCAAGUUUCCCAGAGAGUGUGAGGUGAAGGAAGGGAGGACACAAACAACAGGAUAUCUUGGGCUCUUGAGACUUCCACCCCCUGCCACCAAGCCCUGCUCCAUACAGCAGUCACAUGGAGUCAGUUCCUCCCUGUUAGAUCCCCAGCAGGCUCACCAGUACCAAGUACUUUUUCUACCUGUGCCUUUCCCACCCACAUCCACCUCACCUAUUCCUCUGGCUCCUGUCCUUCCAGUCACACUGUUAUUCGAGCUGCAGUGCACAGCCCUUGCACAGUCCAGAUGCAAAGGACCCCUUUCCCUUUUCCUUGACGCUACUGUGAAUCUGUUCACCAGCCCGCUCUCACUCUGCACAGUGUACUUUUUUUUCCCCCUUCAAUAAAUGCCCAUCCCUCUCUCUU